AUCCACCCUUCACCAUAACUUACCUAUAUCCAUCCACCACCAUAACCUAUCACUCAUCCAUCAUACCACACAUUGUGCCGCUGCAAAGAAGAAAAAGGAGGAUUGCUUGGAGUUGUGCUAGCCAUUCAAUUUGGAUUGUUGAAGCAUUCUAGGUGUAUUCUACUUUGGUUUUCAAUGUUUAAUUUCAAUUGUUAACUAAACCCCUUUUGGCUAGGGGGAAUUUCGAAACCAUGAACAUAUUUGUGUUAUGAAUUGAUUAAUUCCAGUUGUGAUUUCAUAAAGUGUGAAUGCAAUUUGCUUAACUGUUUUAUUCAAAACUUAUUCUUGUAUGUUGAUUAAGAAGGCCUACAUAGUUUGCAUGCUUGAAUUUGAUGCUAAAAUAUAAAUGAGUUUCACCUAAUCGUUACAAAUUUAUAUUCAUGAGUAGUGAAGGUUGCUAGUCACAAUCGCAUUAAUUGAAUUCUUGGCAAACAUAUCAUGCAUUCAUAGUUACGAAUGUCUCGUCAACACUUUUGAUUUUCAUGGAACGUAAUGAUCUCUGAUUGUAUCUCUAUUAUGCAUUCAUGUAGGGGACCUUUGGAGAAUGAUUUGGGUUGUCGCAUGCAUUCAUCCAAUUCAAUGAGUAAAGGAAAAUCUGAGAGUUAAUUAGUGCAUUACGGUUAAUCUGGGGUGUUGAGCUUUAUAAUUUAUUGAAAAGCAACUGGAAAUCGUUUCAUAAGCAAGUGUGUCAUGUGUGGAGAAGGAUCAUCUAGCUAGCCCAUCAUCCAUUUAAUUCACCAAAUUCGUCAAAAAUCUGUAUAGUUCUAGUUUAUGUUUUGUUUUACUUAAAAUUCGUUAGUUUUGUGUAUCAAAUUAGUUAGAAUCUAUCUUAGUUUGUGUUUUUAAGUGUUUUGAGUCAAGUUAAAACCAAUUUUCGUUCAAAGUCAUUCCUAGUGUCUAGUUUGAGUUUAUUAAUUGUUUUAAGCUGUUUUGUGACAUGCUUGAACUAGUGUUUGUGGAUUUUACGUUGUUGUAAUUUGUUUUAUGACUUGUAUUACAAACUACAAAAUUCCUAUGUUUUAUGAGCUUUAUGUAUGUUUUCUUGAACAAUAUUUCUCAUAAUUUUUCAAUUACCAUUCAAAGAUCAUCCAUGCAAAAAUUCAUUGAAAGCGAAAAUCAUGUAAUUACUAAUUGUGGCAUGACAAAUAGAAGACGACGAUGACAAAGUUGUCGAUAACAUAUAUAUAACUUUGCGUUCUAAUAUUAACUUGGAAUCUAUAAAAUUUGGUGUUAAUUGUAAUAUUUAGUGAUUAUUUACAUAAUAGUAGAGGAUCCUUAUAAGGUGGACGUACUAAUGAGAAUACAUCACAGAAAUAUGCUAUUAACUAAAUUCUAUAAAUACUAAAACCCAGCAACUGUUCUAAAGCACAAUGAAAUGACGGAUUUGUCAUCUUCAAACGUUCUUUUCUUUCAUUUAUUUUAAGGAAAACUAAUGAAAAAGGCUUGAAAACUUUUAGUUUUAAUGAUAAGGACAAAAUAAAGGGUAAAGUGAAUAGUACCAUGUUUGACUUUUUAGUGUAAAAAUGUGGUUUUGUUAAAGUGAACAGUACCGUGGGCUUUUCGUUAAAACUCCCUUUAUUUUAUGGGGGUACAGUGAAAAGACAAGAAUGCCCAUUCUUAGGAAUGGCUCGCUCGUGGCUUUCCUCCCCCACCAUUGCUUUCUUGCUUCAAUCCGAAUCGACACGUUCCCUGACCUUUUCCUUGUUGCUGCAAUUCGAAUCCACACGACAACCUGCUCAUCCAAAUCAAUUUCUGCACGUUUCAUUUGGCAACCCUAUUCUUCCACAUCGUUCUAAACCCAAAACCCAAAUCGUUGUUGCUCAUCCAAAACCCAGACAGCCGCCACCACCACGUUUUACAAAUUCCUCUUGACUGAAGGUAAGCGAAAAUUGCCCUCUUCAUCUCCACAAGUAAAUUUGAUUAUCUAUUAAUUUCCCCCAUUUUUUUUUUUGUUUCAAAUUUACAUCGAUUGCUAGGGUUUUGGAAGGGUGUAUGGGUUUGGGUAAUAUUCAUAAACCAGGUUGCACAGACACUUUGAAACUCCAAAGUGUCAGAGUUUGUUUUUAAUCCUCCAACAUUUGACGCAUUUUAGACUAGGUUGCAUGGACACUCCGACUCGCCCCUGACAUAGGUUGGACACAACCCGGCAAGGGUAUUUUUGUAAAUUUGAAAAAUAUUUUGAAUCAAUUUGGAAACAUUGAAACAUUUGGGGCAAUUUGAAAAUACAAAACCUAAAGCCUAACAACAAAGGAAAACUAAUGAAAAUGACUUGAAAACCGUGAGUUUUAACCAAAAACCAUGUAAUAACUUUAUUUAAUGGUUAGGACAAAGCCCAAUACUAAAUCAGUCUAAUUAAAAUGGCCCAAAUAUUGAGUUUACAAUUUUAUCCCUAACGGCAACCUUUUGUCCGUUAAUCUCUCUUCAUUAUGGAUCUCUCUAAUAUUUUCUCCCCCAUUUUUUCCUGACAUUCAAAACCUUCCAUUUUUCUUUCUAAUCUCGCAUAGCAACUCCAUUUCUAUCACUAUGUAAAAACUACAGCUUCGACCCCAAACCUAAUUUUGAGCCGUCUCCAUCUCUGUGAAAAUCAGAAACGAUCUCUUACAAGCAAAACGGUAUGAUUUUGUCACUCUCUCCCUCCCUCCCAAAAUUUCUCUCUCUCUCUCUCUCUCUCUCUCUCUCUCUCUCUUCUCUGUAAAGAUGAGCAAGGGAUCUGCACUUUCACCGACAUCGGCAAAAAAGCCAAAGGUGAAUUUUUGCCCUUCCCUCCUCAUUCAUCUGAUUAUUAACGUUUCAAUUUGAUGAAGAAGAAAAGAAGAUUUCGAGGUACUAUUUUUAAUUUUUCUUCUUCAGUGGAGUUCAUCAUUUGUUUCUCCAGGAAAUAAAUUUGAGAUUUGUUAGCUUUUUGUUCAGUUUUUUUUCUUUUCAGAUACAGUGUAUUUUUUUUUCCAGAUACAAUUUUGCCAACAUUUUUUUCCAGAAACAGUGUUAUGUUUUUGUUUUCUAGAAACAGUGUUAUAUUUUGGUUUUUUUUUCAAAUACAAUGUUUGUUUGUUGAUAGGAGCAUAUUUAUGCGACUUAGUUAGCUUGUUUCUUGGCAUUUAUUUAGUUAGUUUCUACUUAUUAUAGUGAUUUAAGCUAUUUUCGUGUGUUUGUAGGUUCAAAUGACAAAGUUGGCAAGAAAGUGCAUUUUGGUGCAGUUUUGGGCUGAAUUGGAGUGCAUGCAUGUGGGGCAAGUUGAAUGGACGUUUUUGGUGCUUAAAUGAGGUUAGGAACAUGCUACAAAUUUGGAGAAACAAAUGCAAGUUGCAAGAAUGGUUGGUGCACUCACCUAACCUACCAGAAAUUGAAUGGAUGGUGCACUUACCUAAAUUGAUGGAUGGUGCACUCAUCUAACUCACCUAAAUUGAAUGGAAUGUGCACUCAUCUAACUCACCUAAUCCAUCAUCUCCCUAUAAAUACCCAUUGCCAUGCAUUCAUGUAAGAGACCCAUCUACCCUUCACCAUAACUCACCUAUAUUCAUCCACCACCAUAACCUACCACUCAUCCAUCAUUCCACACCUUGUGCCGCUGCAAAGAAGAAGGAUGAGGAUUGCUUGGAGUUGUGCUAGCCAUUCAAUUUGGAUUACUGGAGCAUUCUAGGUGUAUUCUACUUUGGUUUUCAAUGUUUAAUUUCAAUUGUUUCUAUUUAAUUGCAAGUAUGAGGAACUAAACCCCUUUUGACUAGAGGGAAUUUCGAAACCAUGAACAUAUUUGUGUUAUGAAUUGAUUAAUUCCAGUUGUGAUUUCAUAAAGUGUGAAUGCAAUUUGCUUAACUGUUUUAUUCAAAACUUAUUCUUGUAUGUUGAUUAAGAAGGCCUACAUAGUUUGCAUGCUUGA
rnacentral:lncRNA from 1 species